rnacentral:rRNA from 1 species
GGUUAGCUACGUCCUCUACACAUGCAAGUCGCACGAGAAAGGGCUUCGGCCCCGGUACAGUGGCGCACGGGUGAGUAACACGUGGGUAAUCUUCCCUUUGGCGGGGGAUAACAUUCCGAAAGGAGUGCUAAUACCGCAUAAGACCACGGCCUCGAAAGAGGCUGAGGUUAAAGCUGGCCUCUAUACAUAAGCUAGCUCCAGAGGAUGAGCCCGCGGCCCAUCAGGUAGUUGGUAGGGUAAUGGCCUACCAAGCCUAAGACGGGUAGCUGGUCUGAGAGGAUGAUCAGCCACACUGGAACUGAGACACGGUCCAGACUCCUACGGGAGGCAGCAGUGGGGAAUCUUGCGCAAUGGGCGAAAGCCUGACGCAGCGACGCCGCGUGGGUGAUGAAGGCCUUCGGGUUGUAAAGCCCUGUGGGGAGAGACGAAUUAGUAGAACCUAACACGUUCUAUGAUGACGGUACCUCCUUAGCAAGCACCGGCUAACUCUGUGCCAGCAGCCGCGGUA